AGCAGAGUUGAGGUUUUCCAAGGAGGUACAUGCAGCAGAAUAUGCAAGAGAUUCGAGUGUGUCCAGAGGAAUUUAUCCUAACAAUUGACCAUGGAAGGUGACCAGAUGGGUGUGAAGAUAGUGUCUUGCAAUGUCGCCCAGGCUGGAGUGCAGUGGUGCCCCUCCUGUUGUGAAUCUUUGAAUCUGCUGUUAUUAAGUUGCUGGUGCUGAAAUAACACUUAUUAUUUAUGAUCUAACUGAAAUGGGAACACUGGAAACUUCUUUGAAACUGAAGAAAAAAAUGAAAAAGAAGUUUUUACAAUCAAAACUGCCAUGAAGACUGCUUUACCCAAAAUUUUGGUCCACAGCUUUCAUUGAAUUACUUAUCAGGGCAAACAAAGUUUAGCCAUGUGAACACGUUCCAAUUUUGUUGGAAAUAAUUUGGAUCCAGCUAUCUUUAUACAAUGGUGAGUUCGUAUUGCAUCUCAUGGCUAAAAUACUGAGGUAAAGGCUUUUGGAUCUUUGUGUGUGUGUGUGUGCAUGUGACAAAAACAAGCAAUGGGGAAAGGAGUCCCUAUUUAAUAAAUGGUGUUGGGAGAACUGGCUAGCCAUAUGCAGAAAGUUGAAACUGGAGCCCCUCCUUAUACCAUAUACAAAAAUCAACUCAAGAUGAAUUAAAGACUUAAAUGUAAAAACCCAAACUAUAAAAACCCUAGAAGAAAAUCUAGGCAAUACCAUUCAGGACAUGGGCACAGGCAAAUAUUUCAUGACAAAGAUGCCAAAAGCAGUAGCAACAAAAGCAAAAAUUGACAAAUGGAAUCUAAUUAAACUAAAGAGCUUCUGUACAGCAAAGAAAUUAUCAUCAGAGUGAACAGACAGCUUACAGCAUGGGAGAAAAUUUUUGCAGUAUAUCCAUCUGACAAAGGUCUAAUAUUCAGCAUCUACAAGGAACUUAAACAAAUUUACAAGAAAAAAAAACAACGCCAUUAAAAAAUGGGCAAAGGACGUGGACAGACACUUCUCAAAAGAAGAAAUUUAUGUGGGCAAUGAACAUUUUUUUUAAAAAAGCUCAACACCACUGAUCAUUAGAGAAAUGCACAUGAAAACCACAAUGAGAUACCAUCUCACACCAGUCAGAAUGGCUAUUACUUAAAGGUCAAAAAACAACAGAUGAUAGCAAGGUUGUGAAGAAAAAUGAACACUUUUAUACGUUGGUUGGAGUAUAAAUUAGUUCUACCCUUGUCGAAGACAGUGUGGUGAUUCCUCAAAGACCUAGGGGAAGAAAUAUCAUUUGACCCAGCAAUCUCAUUACUGGGUAUAUACCCAGAGGAAUAUAAAUCAUUCUAUUAUAAAGAUACAUGUGCAUGUUCAUUGCAAAAUAGCAAAAACAUGGAAUCAACCUAAAUGCUCAUCAAUGACAGACUUGAUAAAGGAAAUAUGGUACGUAUACACCAAGGAAUACCAUGCAGCCAUAAAAAGGAACAAGAUAAUGUCUUUUGCAGGGACCUGGAUGGAACCAGAAGCCAUUAUCCUCAGCAAAUUAAUGCAGGAACAGAAAAGCAAAUACCACAUGUUCUCACUUGUAAGUGGUAGCUGAAUGAUGAGAACACAUGGACACAUGGUGGGGAACAAUACACACUGGGGCCUGUUGCAGGGUGCGG
rnacentral:lncRNA from 1 species